rnacentral:rRNA from 1 species
UACAUGUGGGGCAAGCGUUGUUCGGAAUUACUGGGCAUAAAGGGUGCGUAGGCGGCUUGUUAAGUCAGGGGUGAAAGUUUUCGGCCCAACCGGAAAAUUGCCUUUGAUACUGGCGAGCUCGAGUGCGUGAGGGGUAACCGGAACGAGCAGUGUAGCGGUGAAAUGCGUAGAUAUUGGGAAGAACACCGGUGGUGAAGGCGGCGACCUGGUCCGAUACUGACGCUGAGGCGCGAAAGCGUGGGGAGCAAACAGG